AUGGGUCAGCUCCCCACUUUCUUUCCCCCUUCUCUCUGCCUCAUCCCCACGCAAGAGGAGGGCAGGCAGCCAUGGCCGCCGGCCUCCUCCUGGCCAUGGCGCCGCCUCUCCCCUCCACUCCUCUGUCUUCCUCCCUUCUCUGUUGCUGCCACACCACCCCAGGCGUCGCCCCUUCCCUGCCCCUGCUCCACUCCAUGGCUGUGCCUCCACCCCAAAUCCCGGCCAGCAACCAUGGCUGCAGCGCCUCCUGGCCACCAGUGCCCCUCUCCUAGGCACCGCAGGCCCUGAGCCUCCGUGGCCGCGCCACCUUGGUCUCCUGGCCCCUGUGCGCCUCCUCCCUCGCAUGGCCGCGCAAACCCCCUGGCCGGCCCUUUCCCUCCAGACCCCCAUGGCUGUGCGCCCCUGCCCGGACCAGGCCGUGGCACACCCUCCUGCUUACCGUGUCCCACCACCUCCAGUUCGUCGGUCACCCCGUCCGUAGCAGCUAGCGCUCAUCCGAGCUUCACCACUCACUACUCCUCUCCCUUGCGCAUGCCCCUGCUACUACUCCUGGAACAUUCAUGGUAUGGUGCUCAUCGUUGCACACUAGAUGCUUGACUAAAUGCCUGAACCGCAGGCUGCAGUAUAGUUCUCAUGCAUGGGAACGCCGCCGGUAUCGUGUGCCACUGCAUCCUGGGCCAGCUGGACACCUUUUGAGACACCUCUAGGCAGCAGCAAACAGCAGCUUUGCACCUCUGUUUAGGUUGUCCGCUGGCUGCCCACGAGGUGUUUGAAGGUGCGCCCAAGCAGCAAGUACCAACUCAGUUUUCAUGGUGAGCAUGGUGAGCACACGAUUCCAAUGUUAAUUCAGUUCCUAGUCUGCCAUGUGCCAAUCUCACUAUUUUGUGUUUGAUGCCGAGGACAGCGACAUCGUGAGGGCAACCGUUCUCGGCCACCCGGAGCUAAAUUGUGAACUCGAGGUGAUGCCGACUUGCACGGCAACACCUCACCACGGCAUCAACGAGACUCGGCAUCGAGAUCAUUGACUCGCGUAUUUGGAGCUGAUCUGGACAUCAUAGUGAUCUUGGAUUUCAUCUGGUGAUGAGGCCCGAAGAAUAAGGAUUUCUAGUGACUAACCAUAUUGAAUUAUCUUGGUCUGCCGGUCUCAGAGUUUCGGGUCUUUCUUCAUUUUCAGGAUAGAGGCAUGGAGGACAUAUGGAUCAUGGAUUCGGGUUGCUCGAGGCACAUGGCCGGGCACCGCAGAUGGUUCUCCAGCCUCAACCCCAUGAGCUCCAAGGAGUACAUCACAUUUGGGGAUAAUGGUUAGGGUAAGGUAUUGGGAGUUGGUUCUGUUUCAGUGUCGGACAAGUUUUCCCUGAGAGAGGUUGCUUUGGUUUCGAAGCUUGGCUUCAAUUUGAUCUCUGUUUCGCAACUUCUCGAUGAGGGGUCUGAGGUCCAUUUUUGGAAGGGUAGCUCUUGCGUUCUUGAUGCUGAAGGAGUUCUUGUUUGCUCGAUUUUGCCUUUUGGAAAGGUUUUCUGAGUCGACUUUUCUUCUUCUUCUGGCCCUUCUCGCUGUUUGAUGGCUGGUUCUACUUCUGAGCUCUGGAGGUGGCAUAGGAGAUUGGGACACCUUAGCUUUGACCUGCUUGUCAGGCUAAGCCACAUGGGUCUCAUCCGAGGAUUGCCCAAGCUUAAGAUGGAGAAGGACCUUGUGUGCCAUCCGUGCUGCCAUGGGAAGAUGGUGGCUGCUUCUCACGCACCUGUGACUCAGACUUCAUAUCCGGGCGAGCUUUUACAUAUGGACACUGUUGGUCCUGCUUGGGUCCGGUCGAUCGGUGGGAAGUGGUACGUCCUUGUGGUUGUGGAGGACUUUUCUCGGUUCUCAUGGGUUUUCUUCUUGGAGUCUAAGGAUGAGGUGUUUCCAUUUGUUCACUAUCUGGUCUUGAGGUUGAAGAACGAGAAUAAUGGUCGGAUGCGAGCAAUUCGCUCUGACAAUGGAACAAAAUUCAAAAACUCUCGUUUUGAUACCUUCUGCAAUGACCAAGGUCUUGAUCACCAAUAUUCUACUCCUUACACUCCCCCACAGAACGGUGUGGUUGAACGCAAGAACCGCACUUUGGUUGAGAUGGCCAGGACGAUGCUUGAUGAGCAUAGGACUCAUAGGCGUUUCUGGGCUGAGGCGAUUAACACCGCCUGUUAUGUUGCCAACCGCAUUUUUCUCCGAGCUUACCUUGGUAAGACCUCGUAUGAGUUGCGGUUUGGUAAGCAGCCCAAGGUGAGUCACUUGAGACCGUUUGGGUCCAAGUGCUUUGUGCUCAAGAAGGGGAAGCAUUUAGACAAAUUUGAGUCUCGCUGCUCGGGUGGUGUUUUUCUUGGCUAUGCUUUACAUUCGCGUGGCUUUCGCGUUUGGAAUCUUGACACCAAGCAGGUAAUCGAGACGUGAGGUUUCCUUUGAUGAAUCUAUGCCUUGCACAACCCCUAUCUUUGAGCUUUCAGGUGAAGAUGAGCUAGUCCAGUCGAUCUUUGAAGACGACGAGACGCCUAAAGCCGGUGAGGGUGGGACUACUACGCCUACUGCAGAUCCUACCCCCUCCGAGUCGACAACUGAUGAUGAGGACGGACCACCGGUGACUGCUUCCACUUCACUUGAUCCCUCUACGUCGAUUUCAAGAGUUCCUAGGGCGGACACAGGAGAGGUGACCUCUCGACCAUCCACUGGUCAGGGAGGCAAAGGCUCUAGACUUCGAGCUUCUGCCCAGAAGGAUCACCCCCAACAGCUCAUUGUCGGCAACACUUCCACCAAGACCCUGAGGUCUCAGAUAGGUUCACUAGCUGUCUUUGCUCAUUCUGCUUUUGUUGCCUCUUUUGAGCCCAAGGAUAUUGGACACGCACUUUCUGAUUCGAACUGGGUUAAUGCCAUACAUGAGGAACUUGAAAACUUUGAAAUAAACCGGGUUUGGGUGCUAGUUGAGCCGCCACUAGGAUGCAACCCCAUAGGCACCAAGUGGGUAUUUAAAAACAAGCAAGGUGAAGAUGGGGUUGUGGUGCGCAACAAGGCUAGACUAGUGGCUCAGGGUUUUUGUCAAAAAGAGGGAAUUGACUUUGAAGAGACUUUUGCUCUUGUAGCUCGUUUGGAGUCAAUUCACAUUCUCUUGGCUUUCGCUGCUUCGAAAGGUUUCAAACUUUUUCAAAUGAAUGUCAAGAGUGCGUUUUUGAACGGCUACAUAGAGGAGGUCUAUGUCCGACAACCCCCUGGUUUCGAAAACCCAAAAUUUCCAAACCGAGUUUUCAAAUUGCAAAAAGCUCUUUAUGGUUUGAAGCAAGCGCCUAGAGCCUGAUAUGGUAGAUUGAAAACCUUUUUGCUGGGUAAGGGCUUUGAAAUGGGUUCAGUUGAUAAAACUCUAUUCCUCAUGCGGCAUGGCAAUGACCUUUUAAUCGUUCAGAUUUACGUGGAUGAUAUCAUCUUUGGUGGCUCUUCUCAUGCUUUGAAUGGCAAGU